CUGCAGUCCCUCAGGCUGGAUGGGAGGUUUCCCUCGUACCAGAUGGAGCGCCGGUGGCUUUCUCGGAGACGCUGGUUCGAUCUCUCUAUUUCUUAUCCUAUGCCUACAAAUUCAGUUUGUUACCACUUCUCCUGAAAUUAACUUCAUUGUGGUGGACACCUCUGCUUCUUGUUUUGUCCCUUUAUUUUCUGGAAUGAGGCCUAUUCCAUAACUCAUGGACAUAGUCGAGACUAAAAAGGCACAAAGACCGUAUUAUGAAGAGUCUCCUUCCCACGUCUGUUCCAAGCCACCUAUGUCUCUUCCCCACAGAUAUUUUAUACCUCCAGUUACGACUGUUAGAAAGAUACCAAUCCCGGCUUUCCCGUUUUACAUUGAUCUGGAAUAAGGACCAGCCAACGAAGGGUGUGUAUGCACAUGCAUAUUUUCCGUUUCUUGGAAGAAAACAAACUAGCUUUGAAUUUGAGAGCAUGCUCAGAAGUUGUAAUUCUUAAGGAAAGAAGCUAUUUAUUUAUCGAAGGGAAAUACAAAGGGCCCAUUACUUCCAGACACAAAAUUUAUACUUAGUGAAAUUUUCAUGAAUAAAAACUCAUUUCACUAAAUAGUUUCUGGUAAAAAUAUGGUUUGCUUUUUUGGUGCAAAGUCUGCCAUAU